rnacentral:rRNA from 1 species
UAGCCGUAAACGAUACUCGCUAGGUGUCGGCCACGGUGCGACCGUUGUCGGUGCCGUAGGGAAGCCGUGAAGCGAGCCACCUGGGAAGUACGGCCGCAAGGCUGAAGCUUAAAGGAAUUGGCGGGGGAGCACCACAACGGGUGGAGCUUGCGGUUUAAUUGGAUUCAACGCCGGAAAUCUUACCGGGACCGACAGCAACAUGAAGGCCAGGCUGAAGACUUUGCCGGAAUAGCUGAGAGGAGGUGCAUGGCGUAGUCGUGU